UAGGGAAUCUUCCGCAAUGGACGCAAGUCUGACGGAGCAACGCCGCGUGAGUGAAGAAGGAUUUCGGUUCGUAAAACUCUGUUGUUAGAGAAGAACAGCGCAUAGAGUAACUGUUAUGCGUGUGACGGUAUCUAACCAGAAAGCCACGGCUAACUACGUGCCAGCAGCCGCGGUAAUACGUAUGUGGCAAGCGUUGUCCGGAUUUAUUGGGCGUAAAGCGAGCGCAGGCGGUCAAUUAAGUCUGAUGUGAAAGCCCCCGGCUCAACCGGGGAGGGUCAUUGGAAACUGGUUGACUUGAGUGCAGAAGAGGAGAGUGGAAUUCCAUGUGUAGCGGUGAAAUGCGUAGAUAUAUGGAGGAACACCAGUGGCGAAGGCGACUCUCUGGUCUGUAACUGACGCUGAGGCUCGAAAGCGUGGGUAGCAAACAGG
rnacentral:rRNA from 1 species